rnacentral:rRNA from 1 species
UACAGAGGGUGCGAGCGUUGUCCGGAAUCACUGGGCGUAAAGGGCGCGUAGGCGGCUGGGGAAGUCCGUGGUGAAAGCUCGUGGCUCAACUGCGAGUCGGCCAAGGAUACUCCUCAGCUCGAGUCGACUAGAGGCAGAUGGAAUUCCAGGUGUAGCGGUGAAAUGCGUAGAUAUCUGGAGGAACACCGGUGGCGAAAGCGGCGUCCUGGACCAAUACUGACACUGAGUGAGCGAAAGCCAGGGGAGCAAACGGG